rnacentral:rRNA from 1 species
UACGGGGGGAGCAAGCGUUGUUCGGAUUUACUGGGCGUAAAGGGCGCGUAGGCGGUCAGCACAAGUCAGUUGUGAAAUCUCCGAGCUUAACUCGGAACGGUCAGCUGAUACUGAUCUGCUAGAGUGCGGAAGGGGCAAUCGGAAUUCUUGGUGUAGCGGUGAAAUGCGUAGAUAUCAAGAGGAACACCUGAGGUGAAGACGGGUUGCUGGGCCGACACUGACGCUGAGUGCGCGAAAGCCAGGGGAGCAAACGGG